GAUGAACGCUGGCGGCGUGCCUAAUACAUGCAAGUCGAGCGAACGGACGAGAAGCUUGCUUCUCUGAUGUUAGCUGCGGACGGGUGAGUAACACGUGGAUAACCUACCUAUAAGACUGGGAUAACUUCGGGAAACCGGAGCUAAUACCGGAUGAUAUUUUGAACCGCAUGGUUCAAAAGUGAAAGACGGUCUUGCUGUCACUUAUAGAUGGAUCCGCGCUGCAUUAGCUAGUUGGUAAGGUAAUGGCUUACCAAGGCAACGAUGCAUAGCCGACCUGAGAGGGUGAUCGGCCACACUGGAACUGAGACACGGUCCAGACUCCUACGGGAGGCAGCAGUAGGGAAUCUUCCGCAAUGGGCGAAAGCCUGACGGAGCAACGCCGCGUGAGUGAUGAAGGUCUUCGGAUCGUAAAACUCUGUUAUUAGGGAAGAACAUAUGUGUAAGUAACUGUGCACAUCUUGACGGUACCUAAUCAGAAAGCCACGGCUAACUACGU
rnacentral:rRNA from 1 species